ACAUUUCUUCCAAACAAAUCAUCAAUUGAAUUACGAAAAUACAUUUCAAUUUCGUUCUAUUUCCGUUAACGCAACGAAUGACAAUUAUUGCAUCCAUAGGCCUUCGGGGAGCUGGAUUUUCGACAGUUUUUCGAUUUUGAGUCGUCAUCACAUUUUUUGAUCCACUUGCGCAACAAGUGACACUUGACAGGAUCGUGCCAGUUUUCGCCACAAGAAAAGCAGAAUGUAUGAUUGCACUUGCAAGUCACCUUGUGUGGCUCUACAUAUUGGACUUUGAUCGCAUUGUUACAAUCUGGAGUGGGACACCAACG